GUGCCUGAAGAGUUUACUACCGAAUCCAAAGAUACGGUCUUCUCCCCAGCGCUCAUGAUAGUUAAGAGAAAUUCACAAAGUCGUGACCGAGAGGAAAGAGCGCCAUCUACUGCAUCGUCAAAACCUCUCCUUUCCCCUCUGAAAGUCGUUCUUGGAGAUGUCUUCAGUAAUUUACGGUCCUGA
rnacentral:lncRNA from 1 species